AGGACGAACGCUGGCGGCGUGCUUAACACAUGCAAGUGGAGCGACGAACCAGGGCUUGCCCUGGGGCAGAGCCGCGAACGGGUGAGUAACACGUGGGUUACCUGCCUUGAUGACCGGGACAACCCGAGGAAACUCGGGCUAAUACCGGAUGUGCCCGCAAGGGGAAAGGAAGCUUCGGCCUCCGCAUCAAGAUGGGCCCGCGGCCCAUUAGCUUGUUGGUGAGGUAACGGCUCACCAAGGCUUCGAUGGGUAGCUGGUCUGAGAGGACGAUCAGCCACACUGGGACUGAGACACGGCCCAGACUCCUACGGGAGGCAGCAGUGGGGAAUCUUGCGCAAUGCGCGAAAGCGUGACGCAGCAACGCCGCGUGGGGGAAGAAGGCUUUCGGGUUGUAAAGCUCUUUCGCCCACGACGAUAAUGACGGUAGUGGGAGAAGAAGCCCGGCUAACUUCGCGCCAGCAGCCGC
rnacentral:rRNA from 1 species